AUUCUACUCCCUCCGUUGCACAAUACAUGUCUUCUAAUUGUCAAAAUAUAUAUGUAUCUAGACAUGUUUUAGUAUAUAGGUACAUCCAUUUUUGGAGAAAUGGAAGUCAAGUAUUUUGGAAUGGAGGGAGUACACA
rfam:Triticum aestivum genome assembly, contig: Triticum_aestivum_CS42_TGACv1_scaffold_322539_4BL